UGGGGAAUUUUGCGCAAUGGGCGAAAGCCUGACGCAGCGACGCCGCGUGGAGGAUGAAGGUCUUCGGAUUGUAAACUCCUUUUGCAGGGGAAGAUAAUGACGGUACCCUGCGAAUAAGCCACGGCUAACUCUGUG
rnacentral:rRNA from 1 species